rnacentral:lncRNA from 1 species
ACAUACAUGAUCAAACAAUGAUAGCGAGAGCACAAACAGUGCUAAACAAACAAAAGCAAGCAUCACAAGUAACCAACAUACAAGUGAAUAAAAGAGAGAUACUAAUCUAUUACAUCCAUACCAUAAUACAUUUGAUUAACUUACCUUUAAACUUUCAAAAUAUUAAAAAUUGAGUUUACAUCAUCCAAAAUACCUCACACCCUAUACAUCAUCUACUCUCAAAAUAGAA